rnacentral:lncRNA from 1 species
GUGAAGGUGUGUCCUCAAGAAAGGGGACAUGAAAAGGAUACAUGUCCCACAGCAAAGUGAAAAGAUAGCAAUUUCCCUGCUUUUUGUUGGGUGUCUGUAUGGAAGCAACCAGGGAAAAGAGAGGAGUCAAUAGAGCUGGGAGCAGGACAAUCACUGCGUCAAAUAAUGUAGUGCUGCAGAGACAGAGGCAAGCCAAGUUGCAUCUAUAAGUCCUCCAGAAGAAGUGUAACCUGCCUGUGGCCAAAUGUGGGUAGCUACCACGCAGAUAUCUCCGACUGAAGCAUUGAUUCUGGUGCUUUUCUUCAUCAUUGUAGAGCUCCUCGGUAGAAUCAUCCUACUUCAGGGACUCAUCCUCUGCCAAGGCGGUAGACAACGGAGGUUAUUUACCAAACAGAGGUACUGCUGCAGAAAGGGCAAACAGAUUAAGGAACUCUGAGCUCCAACACGCUGAUAAGAAAAUUGCAUCUGUCUGCCCAUGUAAAAGCAACAGGGGUGAAUGGGCAUAAGAGGUAACCUUCGCUCUGGUUGUUCUGGGUCAUGGGCCCACGGGAGCAAAACCUAACCAGUCUCUGCUGAUUUUUCGGGGUAUGUUCCUGUAUUCUGGCUACCGCAGUUCCUGAGCCACCGAUUGCUAGAGAACAUAUCAUGGACACAGCACAGCACGUUUAUCUGUCUUUCACAUUUUACCAGGUAGAAGACAUGGGCCACUCUCUGAGAGAGAAUACUGCCUAGGUGCACUUUUGGUAGCCCUUCGUUCUCUUAUGUAUAACAAGAAGGGCUGUAACACCAGGAUGUACCAAAUUCUCCCACCGUUCUUGAUCCCAGCGCCUGCAGACAAAAUACACCAACCGUGUACACAGUGAAUACCCCAUCCCAGACUAGAGAAGACAAUCUGUCCAGGGCUCUCCUUUGUUUCAGAUUGAUCCCCAAUUAGGAAAUACCCAUCAGCCAAAAUAGCCUGUUUAUGUGCCACGCGUAGCCUGCUGAAUGGGGAGAACAUCUCUCCCCUUUUACCAAAUGUUUUAAUGCUUGCUGGACAAAAAAAAAACCCACAGCUUUCCCAGUGCUGCCAUAUCAGCAUGCCCUAUAGCAAAAUUAAAUGUUCGAGUAUAGUCCUGACCUAUAAACAUUUCUACCAAUUGAGGCCACGGAUGUUACAAUGAAAUACAUGCGAACCUCAGUGGCACAUAACUGAAUACCCCAAUUGCUUAGAAACAUCUACUGAGUUUUCAAAGGUGCUCUGGGCUUUCAUCGCUUUGAACAUAUCUUGGAAAAAUGGAGGAGUUUUCAGGGGCUGGAGGGUUUGUGAACAUCGCUUAGAGGAGUUAAACGCUGGACUGCAAAGACUGUACCACAGCAAACAAAACUAUGGUUAAUUCAGAAGUUCAUCAAAAAAGAGAAACAAUUCAAAGUUAAAAAUAUCACUGCAGCACCAG